GUCUUCAGCGCGAUGCCCAAAUCCAAACGUGAUAAGAAAGUUUCCUUAACCAAAACUGCCAAGAAAGGCUUGGAACUGAAGCAGAACCUGAUAGAAGAGCUUCGGAAAUGUGUGGACACCUACAAGUACCUUUUUAUCUUCUCUGUGGCCAACAUGAGGAACAGCAAACUGAAGGACAUCCGGAAUGCCUGGAAGCACAGCCGGAUGUUCUUUGGCAAAAACAAAGUGAUGAUGGUGGCCUUGGGUCGGAGCCCAUCUGAUGAGUACAAAGACAACCUGCAUCAGGUCAGCAAGAAGUUAAGGGGUGAAGUUGGUCUCCUUUUCACCAACCGCUCGAAGGAAGAAGUAAAUGAGUGGUUCACAAAAUACACAGAAAUGGACUAUGCCCGCGCCGGUAACAAAGCCACUUUCACUGUGAGCCUGGAUCCAGGGCCCCUGGAGCAGUUUCCCCACUCCAUGGAGCCACAGCUGAGGCAGCUGGGCACCACGAGCUCAGUGGGAGAAGAGAAGGAGGAUUUUGAAGCCUUUCGAUGA